CCUACGGGAGGCAGCAGUGAGGAAUAUUGGUCAAUGGACGCAAGUCUGAACCAGCCAUGCAGCGUGCAGGAAGACGGCUCUAUGAGUUGUAAACUGCUUUUGUACGAGGGUAAACGCAGAUACGCGUAUCUGUCUGAAAGUAUCGUACGAAUAAGGAUCGGCUAACUCCGUGCCAGCAGCCGCGGUAAUACGGAGGAUUCAAGCGUUAUCCGGAUUUAUUGGGUUUAAAGGGUGCGUAGGCGGUCUGAUAAGUUAGAUGUGAAAUCCCGAGGCUCAACUUCGGAAUUGCCUCUGAUACUGUUCGGCUAGAGAGUAGUUGCGGUAGGCGGAAUGUAUGGUGUAGCGGUGAAAUGCUUAGAGAUCAUACAGAACACCGAUUGCGAAGGCAGCUUACCAAGCUACUUCUGACGUUGAGGCACGAAAGCGUGGGUAGCAAACAGGAUUAGAUACCCUAGUAGUC
rnacentral:rRNA from 1 species